rnacentral:lncRNA from 1 species
CCUGAAUCCUCCUGGCUAAAGUGACACUUCAGCGUGAUACCAAGAAGAAACUGGGCUUGAAUCUAUUAUCUCACAGACUGUGAGCUGCUAGAAGCCAUCCUACUGUCACUUGUGACUAAAUGUAAAACGAAAGAAAGCAGAACAAGGAAUGGAGUGGGCCAGGAAAUAGGUGAGAGCAACACAAAAAAAGCAAUUGAUAUAAAGAAGUUAUAGAAAGAUGAACAACACAAGAGAGUG